rnacentral:lncRNA from 1 species
AUUCUUUUAAUCAACAAUUUUUUUUAUUUUCUCACGUCCGAAUAAGUGUUUGGUGGAGCCUUGUAACUAAUAAUUUAAUUAUCUCAGAUUCCACUGUUUUUUUUACUUUCAUUUUGUGUGUUUUUGUGCGUGAACCCAUGGUGUCACAAUGGAGCAGAGUUUCAGCCAUCAGUUUUCUACCUAUUUCAUUUCGAUAGUUUUUUGCCACUCAUGCAGCGCUCCAACAUUAUCCAAGGAAAGGAACAUUUAAAGUACUACAGUGAAGCAGUAUAUCUAAGUACUAAAAUAUGUGCACGAAUCUACCUGACCAUGCUUCUGAAAACUUAAAAUUACAAUUAAGAAUCUAGAAGCAAAAGAGCAUUCUUUAAAAAUUUGUUCAUUACCUGUAUUUUUCUGAAGUCAUAAAGUAAGAAAGUUUCAUUUAAUAUUUUUAAAGGAAAUUGAGUUUGGUGCUUUUGUUUUUUCUUUUAAACCACUCAAGCUGCAAGGAAUUAUUUUGAUGGUAUUGAAUUGUAUACUCAAGUAAAAUUUGUAUCCCUAUGUUUUGCACAAUAUAUCUGUAUAUCGCACACUCAAAUUGUAUUUUAAUGUUAAUUUAUGACAUUAAAUCACGUUGCAUAAUAGCUAAUUUCAAGAAAUCUUUAUAAAUUUGCACAAUUCCAUUCACUUUAAAAUUUAUUGGAUCAUGAACUGAAAUCAAGAAUUUUUACAGUUAUUAAAUAAAUGAAAAUUUAAACUAUUGCGUGAACAAUUAGCCUAAGAACUACAUACCACUAAAUAUAAUAUAAACAACAAAUUUUUACAGAUUUAAUAAUAUCUAGAACCUAGGAACUGCAUCCAACAGAAUGUAAAAUAGAAUAUUAAAAUAUGUUAGUUAAUUUGACAUUAGGAUGAGCCUAAGUGUCAGCAAAAUCUAAUCCAGAAAUAAUUUUCAAUUCGACUUGAAGGCAGCAAGUAACAUUUCUGGUUCUUCAUCAAAGUCGUGAAUAAGUUUAAGAAUGUCUUACUGCGCAAAAUACAUUGUUUGAAAUGGGGAACUCAUCAUAAUAAAAUGUAGCGUUGGAAGAGUAUGGUAUCACAAUUAUUUCAUGCCACUAAAUGCUGGGCUUAUUUUGAUCAUUGGCAAAUAACUUUAGAAAAAAAUUG